rnacentral:rRNA from 1 species
GAUGAACGCUAGCGGCAGGCUUAAUACAUGCAAGUCGAGGGACAGCACAGGUAGCAAUACUGGGUGGUAACCGGCAAACGGGUGCGGAACACGUACACAACCUUCCUUUAAGUGGGGGAUAGCCCAGAGAAAUUUGGAUUAAUACCCCGUAAUAUAGUUGAAUGGCAUCAUUUGAUUAUUAUAGCUACGGCGCUUAAUGAUGGGUGUGCGGCUGAUUAGAUAGUUGGCGGGAUAACGGCCCACCAAGUCUACGAUCAGUAGCUGAUGUGAGGGCAUGAUCAGCCACACGGGCACUGAGACACGGGCCCGACUCCUACGGGAGGCAGCAGUAAGGAAUAUUGGUCAAUGGACGCAAGUCUGAGCCAGCCAUGCCGCGUGAAGGAUUAAGGUCCUCUGGAUUGUAAACUUCUUUUAUUUGGGACGAAAAAGGGCCUUUCUAGGUCAACUGACGGUACCAGAUGAAUAAGCACCGGCUAACUCCGUGCCAGCCGCCGCGGUAAGAC